rnacentral:rRNA from 1 species
GAUGAACGCUGGCGGCGUGCCUAAUACAUGCAAGUCCAGCGAACGGACGCGAAGUUUGCUUCUCUGAUGUUAACGGCGGAAGGGUGAGUAACACGUGGAUAACCUACAUAUAAGACUGGGAUAAUUUAGGGCAACCGUAGCUAAUACCGGAUAAUAUUUUGAACCACAUGGUUCAACAGUAAAAGACGGUCUUUCUGUCACUUAUAGAUGGUUCCGCGCUUAAUUAGCUAGUUGGUAAGGUAACGGUUUAUCAAGGCGACUACGCAUAGACGACGUGGGAGAGUGUACGGCCACUCAGGAAGUUGGACACCGUCAUGACUCCUACUGCAGGCAGCUGUAGGGAAUCUUCCGCGAUGGGCGAAAUCCUGACGCUGCAACGUCGCGUGAAUUGUGAAGGUCUUCCGAUCGUAAUGCUCUUUUAUGAGUGAAGAACAUAUGUGUAAGUUACUGUACACAUCUUGACGGUACCUAAUCAGAAAGCCACGGCUAACUAGGUG